rnacentral:rRNA from 1 species
UACAUGGGGUGCAAACGUUGCUCGGAAUUAUUGGGCGUAAAGCGCACGUAGGCGGUUCGUUAAGUCGGAUGUGAAAGCCCUCGGCUCAACUGAGGAAGUGCACCCGAAACUGGCGAGCUUGAGUACGAAAGAGGAUCGCGGAAUUCCCGGUGUAGAGGUGAAAUUCGUAGAUAUCGGGAGGAACACCGGUGGCGAAGGCGGCGAUCUGGGGUUGUUCUGACACUGAGGAGCGAAAGCUAGGGGAGCAAACGGG